UACGUAGGUGGCAAGCGUUAUCCGGAUUUACUGGGUGUAAAGGGCGUGUAGGCGGGAAAGCAAGUCAGAUGUGAAAACCAUGGGCUCAACCUGUGGCCUGCAUUUGAAACUGUUUUUCUUGAGUACUGGAGAGGCAGACGGAAUUCCUAGUGUAGCGGUGAAAUGCGUAGAUAUUAGGAGGAACACCAGUGGCGAAGGUGGUCUGCUGGACAGCAACUGACGCUGAGGCGCGAAAGCGUGGGGAGCAAACAGG
rnacentral:rRNA from 1 species